rnacentral:rRNA from 1 species
GACGGAGGAUGCAAGCGUUAUCCGGAAUGAUUGGGCGUAAAGCGUCCGCAGGCGGCAGUUCAAGUCUGCUGUCAAAGACCGGGGCUUAACUUCGGAAAGGCAGUGGAAACUGAACAGCUAGAGUAUGGUAGGGGCAGAGGGAAUUCCUGGUGUAGCGGUGAAAUGCGUAGAGAUCAGGAAGAACAUCGGUGGCGAAGGCGGGAUCCUGGGCCAGUACUGACGCUGAGGAGCGAAAGCGUGGGGAGCAAACAGG